rnacentral:rRNA from 1 species
CCUAACACAUGCAAGUCGAACGGAGCUUAGAGAGCUUGCUUUUUAAGCUUAGUGGCGAACGGGUGAGUAACGCGUGAGUAACCUGCCCUAGAGUGGGGGACAACAGUUGGAAACGACUGCUAAUACCGCAUAAGCCCACGGUGCCGCAUGACACUGAGGGAAAAGGAUUUAUUCGCUUUAGGAUGGACUCGCGUCCAAUUAGCUAGUUGGUGAGGUAACGGCCCACCAAGGCGACGAUUGGUAGCCGGACUGAGAGGUUGAACGGCCACAUUGGGACUGAGACACGGCCCAGACUCCUACGGGAGGCAGCAGUGGGGGAUAUUGCACAAUGGGGGAAACCCUGAUGCAGCGACGCCGCGUGGAGGAAGAAGGUUUUCGGAUUGUAAACUCCUGUCGUUAGGGACGAUAAUGACGGUACCUAACAAGAAAGCACCGGCUAACUACGUGCCAGCAGCCGCGGUAAAACGUAGGGUGCAAGCGUUGUCCGGAAUUACUGGGUGUAAAGGGAGCGCAGGCGGGAAGGCAAGUUGGAAGUGAAAACCAUGGGCUCAACCCAUGAAUUGCUUUCAAAACUGUUUUUCUUGAGUAGUGCAGAGGUAGAUGGAAUUCCCGGUGUAGCGGUGGAAUGCGUAGAUAUCGGGAGGAACACCAGUGGCGAAGGCG